rnacentral:rRNA from 1 species
UACGGGGGGUGCAAGCGUUGUUCGGAUUUAUUGGGCGUAAAGCGCGUGUAGGCGGUUUCUUAAGUCUGAUGUGAAAGCCCUGGGCUCAACCUGGGAAGUGCAUUGGAUACUGGGAGACUUGAAUACGGGAGAGGGUAGUGGAAUUCCUAGUGUAGGAGUGAAAUCCGUAGAUAUUAGGAGGAACACCGGUGGCGAAGGCGGCUACCUGGACCGAUAUUGACGCUGAGACGCGAAAGCGUGGGGAGCAAACAGG